rnacentral:rRNA from 1 species
AUUGAACGCUGGCGGCAUGCCUUACACAUGCAAGUCGAACGGCAGCACGGGAGCAAUCCUGGUGGCGAGUGGCGAACGGGUGAGUAAAGUAUCGGAACGUGCCCAGUCGUGGGGGAUAACGUAGCGAAAGUUACGCUAAUACCGCAUACGAUCUAUGGAUGAAAGCGGGGGAUCGCAAGACCUCGCGCGAUUGGAGCGGCCGAUAUCAGAUUAGGUAGUUGGUGGGGUAAAGGCUCACCAAGCCGACGAUCUGUAGCUGGUCUGAGAGGACGACCAGCCACACUGGGAGUGAGACACGGCCCAGACUCCUACGGGAGGCAGGAGUGGGGAAUUUUGGACAAUGGGCGAAAGCCUGAUCCAGCCAUGCCGCGGGCAGGAUGAAGGUCUUCGGGUUGUAAGCUGCUUUUGUACGGAACGAAAAGGUUUGGCCUAAUAAGCUGAGCUCAUGACGGUACCGUAAGAAUAAGCACCGGCUAACUACGUGCCAGCCGCCGCCGUAA